rnacentral:misc_RNA from 1 species
CCCUUGUUCGCCUUUUGGCAGCUCGCCGGACCAGGUUUUUAGCGCGCGUUCAAUGCGGGCCGCCAGCGUCGCUUCAUUUGCCGGUAGCGAGGUUAAGCCGCCGCCCGUUUUGCCUGCAAGCUGCAUCAGCGCGGCGAUAUCCGCAUGUUCGACAGGACGAAUCACCCGCAUGAUGCGCCUCCCGUCUGAAGGCGUUCGCACGCCAUGGCAAAACGAUCAAGCCCGGUGGCUAUCUCCUCGUCGCUCACAUUUAACGCUGGCGCAAAACGCACCACGUCGCCGCCGGCAAUGAGCACCAUCACGCCUGCUUUUGCCGCUUCCUGGGCGAUG